rnacentral:rRNA from 1 species
ACACGGAGGGCGCAAGCGUUGCUCGGAAUCACUGGGCGUAAAGCGGGUGUAGGCGGUCUAGCAAGUCAGAUGUGAAAGCCCACGGCUCAACCGUGGAAGUGCAUCUGAAACUGCUAGACUUGAGUGCCGGAGAGGGAAGUGGAAUUCCUGGAGUAGGGGUGAAAUCCGUAGAUAUCAGGAGGAACACCGGUGGCGAAGGCGACUUCCUGGACGGCCACUGACGCUGAGACCCGAAAGCGUGGGGAGCAAACAGGAUUAGAUACCCUAGUAGUCC